rnacentral:tRNA from 1 species
UACUAGUAGUACAUGUAGAACUAGUUCUACAAGUACUAGUAGUACAUGUAGAACUAGUUCUACUAGUACUAGUAG